ensembl:lncRNA
CAGGCUGCAAACACACGAGCACGCAGACCCGCGCACUAGAACAUAAACAAGGAUAUUUCAUUUCUUCCUUUUUUUUUUUUUUGCACACUAAUAAAUAAACUACUGCAACAACAACAGAAAAAGCAAGCGGAAUCCAAAUAUCCUCUCGGUUGCCAUUUGGUUAUAUAAGAAGGACGAAUUAAGGCGAGCUGGCGGUAAAGAGUCGCUCCAAAUCCAAGCCCCUGCACCGGCCUUAAAUCAAAAGGGAAAAAGUGGGGCAGAGUUCUGCCAGCAGCAAACAUGAUCUGCUUCUGGGGAGAGGACUGUCACAGGUCACAGAACUCGGCCCAGCUAAAAGUCCGCAGCCCCUGCACACCUCCGGGAACCCUUGUUCGUUGUUGUUGUGCAGGGAUGGGCUCCAGGCAGCUUCCUUUGUAAGGUGCCCCCCACCCCAGCCCGCGGGUCGAGCUGCCGGGGCAGGGAGCAAACACCCGCCCCAAGGUACUGGACCACCGGCGUCCCUCUGCCCAGGAAUUUAGGAUUGGGAUGGAGAAAAAGAAAACAGUGUUUAUGAAGAGCCAGAAAGCGUUCUGUACGGCUUCCCAAGUGGCGCAGUGGUAAAGAAUUCACUACAUAGGAGAUGCAGGAGAUGCGUGUUCAAUCCCUGGGUCAGGAAGAUCC